CUCUUACUUUGAAGGACCUGCUAUGCUUUACAGACUCCUUCAGUCCUAUGACACAUUUUCCUUGUGCUUACAUGCUUCUGGUGUGAAGCAUGGCAACUGCUUUGCACUGCACAGGAGGACUCUGCCAAGGAAGACUAACGUCUGCAUUUGAUUGAACCUGCAGAGGGAAUUAAGGUGUUUGCUAGGAGGACACAGGGAAUACAGAGGGAUCCAAAUGCUCAUGCAUGUUGACCACACACUUCUGCAUUGCUUGAAUACCCACACAAACGAGGUGGAUUUUGAGUAGCAGAGCCAGGCCAGUGCUCGGCAAGGGGUUAAAUCGUGCAACAAGUUUCUCAGCUGAGUAAAGUGAGAAGCCAUCCCGCCCAUCCAGCCCUGAGUUUCCAGAGCGAUGUGAUAUGUCCCUCGCAGGCUCCUUGGAGACAGUGUGCAUAUUGAUGUGGUCUGUUGGUAUCUGUCCUUGAAGAAGCGAAUUACCAUGUCAGACCAGGACUACCCGGGGAGACCUCUCUUGUGCAAUUCUCUGAGGAAUGAGAAUUGGUAUAUACUGUGGCAUCCUUUAUAAAAUGACUUUAGCAUUAAUAUCAGCAGAGAACUGGCAGCGUGUUUCUCCUUGUUAAAACAACAGCAAAAUGGCUUUGAUGAGCAGGCUCCUACUAACUGACUGUUUUGAGGGUAUCUAUCAGCAGUUCAGCCCUGGAUUUCUAAACAGCCCUGCUUCACAGAGGUUGUGUUAGCAGCUUUACUGCUUCUGUAAAGAUGUGACUUUAUUGAAUCCUGGCUUCCCAAGACGUUUCUUUCUUCACCCUCCUCCAGAUCCUGCUCAGAUCCUCCCUGUAAUCUUGCCAUCUCUAUUUGCGACAUCUCUGCUCAGCCUCACCCUGAAUGACGCACUGCCAUUUCUUAGCUCAUUACAUUGUGUGGCUACAAGUUCUGCUGCAAAACUAGCAUGGAAAGAAACAACACAGAAGAAUAACAAGGCUGGUCCAGCCACAAAGGUGGAUAUACAGCUACUAUGAGUCAUGCUUUAAUUUCACAAUAAAGCAACCUUAGAACU
rnacentral:lncRNA from 7 species